GAUGAACGCUGGCGGCGUGCUUAACACAUGCAAGUCGAACGAUGAAGCCCAGCUUGCUGGGUGGAUUAGUGGCGAACGGGUGAGUAACACGUGAGUAACCUGCCCUUGACUCUAGGAUAAGCCCGGGAAACUGGGUCUAAUACUGGAUAGGAACGUCUACCGCAUGGUGGGUGUUGGAAAGAAUUUCGGUCAUGGAUGGACUCGCGGCCUAUCAGCUUGUUGGUGAGGUAAUGGCUCACCACGGCGACGACGGGUAGCCGGCCUGAGAGGGUGACCGGCCACACUGGGACUGAGACACGGCCCAGACUCCUACGGGAGGCAGCAGUGGGGAAUAUUGCACAAUGGGCGAAAGCCUGAUGCAGCGACGCCGCGUGAGGGAUGACGGCCUUCGGGUUGUAAACCUCUUUCAGUAGGGAAGAAGCGAAAGUGACGGUACCUGCAGAAGAAGCACCGGCUAACUACGUG
rnacentral:rRNA from 1 species